rnacentral:rRNA from 1 species
UACGGGGGGGGCAAGCGUUGUUCGGAAUUACUGGGCGUAAAGGGCUCGUAGGCGGCCAACUAAGUCAGACGUGAACUCCCUCGGCUUAACCGGGGAACUGCGUCUGAUACUGGAUGGCUUGAGUUCGGGAGAGGGAUGCGGAAUUCCAGGUGUAGCGGUGAAAUGCGUAGAUAUCUGGAGGAACACCGGUGGCGAAGGCGGCAUCCUGGACCGACACUGACGCUGAGGAGCGAAAGCCAGGGGAGCAAACGGG